rnacentral:rRNA from 1 species
CCUGGCUCAGAUUGAACGCUGGCGGCAUGCCUUACACAUGCAAGUCGAACGGCAGCACGGGUGCUUGCACCUGGUGGCGAGUGGCGAACGGGUGAGUAAUACAUCGGAACAUGUCCUGUAGUGGGGGAUAGCCCGGCGAAAGCCGGAUUAAUACCGCAUACGAUCUACGGAUGAAAGCGGGGGACCUUCGGGCCUCGCGCUAUAGGGUUGGCCGAUGGCUGAUUAGCUAGUUGGUGGGGUAAAGGCCUACCAAGGCGACGAUCAGUAGCUGGUCUGAGAGGACGACCAGCCACACUGGGACUGAGACACGGCCCAGACUCCUACGGGAGGCAGCAGUGGGGAAUUUUGGACAAUGGGCGAAAGCCUGAUCCAGCAAUGCCGCGUGUGUGAAGAAGGCCUUCGGGUUGUAAAGCACUUUUGUCCGGAAAGAAAUCCUUGGUUCUAAUAUAACCGGGGGAUGACGGUACCGGAAGAAUAAGCACCGGCUAACUACGUGCCAGCAGCCGCGGUAAUACGUAGGGUGCGAGCGUUAAUCGGAAUUACUGG